rnacentral:rRNA from 1 species
GACGAACGCUGGCGGCGUGCUUAACACAUGCAAGUCGAACGGAAAGGCCCUGCUUUUGUGGGGUGCUCGAGUGGCGAACGGGUGAGUAACACGUGAGUAACCUGCCCUUGACUUUGGGAUAACUUCAGGAAACUGGGGCUAAUACCGGAUAGGAGCUCCUGCUGCAUGGUGGGGGUUGGAAAGUUUCGGCGGUUGGGGAUGGACUCGCGGCUUAUCAGCUUGUUGGUGGGGUAGUGGCUUACCAAGGCCUUGACGGGUAGCCGGCCUGAGAGGGUGACCGGCCACAUUGGGACUGAGAUACGGCACAGACUCCUACGGGAGGCAGCAGUGGGGAAUAUUGCACAAUGGGCGGAAGCCUGAUGCAGCAACGCCGCGUGCGGGAUGACGGCCUUCGGGUUGUAAACCGCUUUCGCCUGUGACGAAGUGUGAGUGACGGUAAUGGGUAAAGAAGCACCGGCUAACUACGUG